AACCUUUGCUGUCUUGGGACGGAUCACCGCUGCAAGAGGGGAAGUUGCUACUGUGAUGAAUUCUGCCAUGUGGCACCAGACUGCCACCCAGACCACAGUGUCCUCUGCAACCCUGGUAACUCACAUACAGGCCCGAUUCCACCUACAGCAAAGCUGGAUGCGAUGGCUGGCAGAGGCAAACCCUUUGCCUGCACUUCAGGCCAAAGCCGGGAUGUGGCCUAGAUGGUUCCUAAGCUUCUCAGAUGACCAAGAUGGUGCUGCAGAUGGUGCUGAGGAUGGAGAACCCACCAAGCCCCGCUAGGAGCCACCUAGACUGGAUGCAGAGCAUGUUUUAUUUGCUUCCAAGAAGGAAGGCAAGAUUUCCUGGGUCCGUGAUGAUGGAAGGCUGACAACUCUUUUAUGGAGUUUGAGCUUGCUCCCAGCAGGGAAGACAAGUUCGAGUUUUUUUCCUGCUUCAAGGAUGGUAGAGAGCAGUCUUCAGCCUGAGACCCAUCCCUAGGUGAAAAUGGAGGUUUCCUCCUCCUGUGGCUGAGUGUGGCUUCCCCGGAAGACCUCACUGACCCCAGAGUGGCAGAAAGGCUGAUGCAGCAGCUCCACCGGGAACUCCACGCCCACGCGCCUCACUUCCAGGUCUCCUUACUGCGUGUCAGGAGAGGCUAACGGACAUCAGCUGCAGCCAGGCAUGUCCCGUAUGCCAAAAGA
rnacentral:misc_RNA from 1 species